rnacentral:antisense_RNA from 1 species
CUUGAUGGACCCCAGCAGCAGGGGCUGGUCCUCGGGCCGGUCCUGGCCGUAGGUGGCCAGCAGCGCCUGCGCCUC